rnacentral:lncRNA from 1 species
AGGUAAGGACCCCUCACUAUCCAUUUGUUUGACCACCCAUACAUGAAUCACCCCCCCUCCCCUCUUACCUAGAAUUUGUAAAUCGAUGAAAACCUUUGACCUUUUGGGAUUUUUCCUCGCUCUACAAGGUUCCUUCCUAGGUUCUAUCUCUUUGCCUCUUUUUCCAAGUUCUACCUGUACUAUACAAACACUUACUCUAUUUACCCUAAUUUGAUCCAUU